ensembl:snoRNA
AAUGGCACAGUGAUAACUUGAACUAUCUUUGCCAUCUACUCAGCUGAGAAUUUCUUUGAAGAAAUUUAGAAAAAAAAUUUUUUUGGUCCCAGCUGUU